rnacentral:rRNA from 1 species
AUUGAACGCUGGCGGCAGGCUUAACACAUGCAAGUCGAGCGGGGUGAUGGUGCUUGCACUAUCACUUAGCGGCGGACGGGUGAGUAAUGCUUAGGAAUCUGCCUAUUAGUGGGGGACAACAUCUCGAAGGGGAUGCUAAUACCGCAUACGUCCUACGGGAGAAAGCAGGGGAUCACUUGUGACCUUGCGCUAAUAGAUGAGCCUAAGUCGGAUUAGCUAGUUGGUGGGGUAAAGGCCUACCAAGGCGACGAUCUGUAGCGGGUCUGAGAGGAUGAUCCGCCACACUGGGACAGAGACACGGCCCAGAAUCCUACGGGAGGCAGCAGUGGGGAAUAUUGGACAAUGGGGGGAACCCUGAUCCAGCCAUGCCGCGUGUGUGAAGAAGGCCUUAUGGUUGUAAAGCACUUUAAGCGAGGAGGAGGCUCUUUUGGUUAAUACCCAAGAUGAGUGGACGUUACUCGCAGAAUAAGCACCGGCUAACUCUGUGCCAGCAGCCGCCGUAA